CUAAGUCAGAUUAGCUAGUUGGUGGGGUAAAGGCCUACCAAGGCGACGAUCUGUAGCGGGUCUGAGAGGAUGAUCCGCCACACUGGGACUGAGACACGGCCCAGACUCCUACGGGAGGCAGCAGUGGGGAAUAUUGGACAAUGGGCGAAAGCCUGAUCCAGCCAUGCCGCGUGUGUGAAGAAGGCCUUUUGGUUGUAAAGCACUUUAAGCGAGGAGGAGGCUACUUGGAUUAAUACUCUAGGAUAGUGGACGUUACUCGCAGAAUAAGCACCGGCUAACUCUGUGCCAGCAGCCGCGGUAAUACAGAGGGUGCGAGCGUUAAUCGGAUUUACUGGGCGUAAAGCGUGCGUAGGCGGCUUUUUAAGUCGGAUGUGAAAUCCCUGAGCUUAACUUAGGAAUUGCAUUCGAUACUGGGAAGCUAGAGUAUGGGAGAGGAUGGUAGAAUUCCAGGUGUAGCGGUGAAAUGCGUAGAGAUCUGGAGGAAUACCGAUGGCGAAGGCAGCCAUCUGGCCUAAUACUGACGCUGAGGUACGAAAGCAUGGGGAGCAAACAGGAUUAGAUACCCUGGUAGUCCAUGCCGUAAACGAUGUCUACUAGCCGUUGGGGCCUUUGAGGCUUUAGUGGCGCAGCUAACGCG
rnacentral:rRNA from 1 species